rnacentral:rRNA from 1 species
UACGAGGGGUGCAAGCGUUAAUCGGAAUUACUGGGCGUAAAGCGUGCGUAGGCGGUUUGUUAAGCAAGAUGUGAAAGCCCCGGGCUCAACCUGGGAACUGCAUUUUGAACUGGCAGGCUAGAGUACUGUAGAGGGUGGUGGAAUUUCCAGUGUAGCGGUGAAAUGCGUAGAGAUUGGAAGGAACAUCAGUGGCGAAGGCGGCCACCUGGCCAAAUACUGACGCUGAGGUGCGAAAGCGUGGGGAGCAAACAGG